UUUCCGUAGGUGAACCUGCGGAAGGAUCAUCCAUAAUAAAGUGUUUUAUGGCACUUUUUAAAAAUCCAUAUCCACCUUGUGUGCAAUGUUAGAUCUCGUCAAUCUUGGCGAGAUUUUUAUACAUCAGCUCAUUUUUUAACUAAUUUGUCUGAAAAAUAUUAUGAAUACUUAAUUCAAAAUACAACUUUCAACAACGGAUCUCUUGGCUCUC
rnacentral:misc_RNA from 1 species